rnacentral:rRNA from 1 species
GACGAACGCUGGCGGCGUGGAUUAGGCAUGCAAGUCGGACGGUAGGGCUUUAUCGUAAGAUAGAGUUUGAGAGUGGCGAACGGGUGAGUAACACGUAGGAAUCUACCCUUAAGACGGGGACAACCCAGGGAAACUUGGGCUAAUACCGGAUGAGAGUGCGAGAGAUUGCAUUUAAAAGGAUGGCGAAAGUUAUCGCUUAGGGAUGAGCCUGCGGUCUAUUAGUUAGUUGGUGGGGUAAGAGCUCACCAAGGCGAUGAUAGAUAGGCGGCCUUAACGGGUGGUCGCCCACACUGGGAUUGAGACACGGUCCAAACUCCUACGGGAGGCAGCAGUGGGGAAUAUUGCACAAUGGGCGCAAGCCUGAUGCAGCAACGCCGCGUGAGCGAAGAAGGUCUUCGGAUCGUAAAGCUCUGUCCUUGGGGAAGAAACAAAUGACGGUACCCAAGGAGGAAGCCCCGGCUAACUACGUG